GCAGGGAAAUGACUUCACUGGCCUGAAAUCCAGUCUCUGUUCUUCGGAGAGAAAGAAAGAUGGCUCCAAACUGAGAUCAGAUGGCAAGCGAUGCAAGUGAGGAUUUCAGUAUAACAAAGAGAAAGUGACAGAAAAUCUUGGGAUGUCUGAGCCACUGCCAGACGGCGACAGAUCUUGCAAGACCUGCCUCCCCUCUCAUCUCUCAGGAACUCAGCUGAUUGAAGGAAGCCACCUGUUCCCAGGCCGCCGCCGCUCCCUGUAAUCAAGAAAUAACCACGCUGGAGGGAAAUAUCUCU